UACGUAGGGGGCGAGCGUUGUCCGGAAUUAUUGGGCGUAAAGAGCUUGUAGGCGGUCUGUCGCGUCUGCUGUGAAAAUCCGGGGCUCAACCCCGGACUUGCAGUGGGUACGGGCAGACUAGAGUGUGGUAGGGGAGACUGGAAUUCCUGGUGUAGCGGUGAAAUGCGCAGAUAUCAGGAGGAACACCGGUGGCGAAGGCGGGUCUCUGGGCCGUAACUGACGCUGAGGAGCGAAAGCGUGGGGAGCGAACAGG
rnacentral:rRNA from 1 species